rnacentral:rRNA from 1 species
CAAGUCGAGCGGUAACAGGUGUAGCAAUACAUGCUGACGAGCGGCGGACGGGUGAGUAACGCUUGGGAAUCUGCCUGUUAGUGGGGGACAACCCGGGGAAACUCGGGCUAAUACCGCAUACGCACUACGGUGGAAAGCCGGGGACCGCAAGGCCUGGCGCUAACAGAUGAGCCCAAGUCGGAUUAGCUAGUUGGUAGGGUAACGGCCUACCAAGGCGACGAUCCGUAACUGGUCUGAGAGGACGACCAGUCACACCGGAACUGAGACACGGUCCGGACUCCUACGGGAGGCAGCAGUGGGGAAUAUUGGACAAUGGGGGCAACCCUGAUCCAGCGACGCCGCGUGGGUGAAGAAGGCCUGCGGGUUGUAAAGCCCUUUCGGUUGGGAAGAAAAGUUGCGGUUUAAUACAUCGCGACCUUGACGUAACCAACUAAAGAAGCACCGGCUAACUCUGUGCCAGCAGCCGCGGUAAUA